AGGAAAAGAAACCAACCGGGAUUGCCUCAGUAACGGCGAGUGAAGCGGCAAGAGCUCAAAUUUGAAAGCUGGCCCCUCCGGGGCCCGCGUUGUAAUUUGCAGAGGAUGCUUUGGGUGCGGCCCCCGUCUAAGUGCCCUGGAACGGGCCGUCAGAGAGGGUGAGAAUCCCGUCUUGGGCGGGGUGUCCGUGCCCGUGUAAAGCUCCUUCGACGAGUCGAGUUGUUUGGGAAUGCAGCUCUAAAUGGGUGGUAAAUUUCAUCUAAAGCUAAAUACUGGCCGGAGACCGAUAGCGCACAAGUAGAGUGAUCGAAAGAUGAAAAGCACUUUGAAAAGAGAGUUAAACAGCACGUGAAAUUGUUGAAAGGGAAGCGCUUGCGACCAGACUCGCCCUCGGGGUUCAGCCGGCACUCGUGCCGGUGUACUUCCCCGGGGGCGGGCCAGCGUCAGCUUGGGCGGCCGGUCAAAGGCCUCC
rnacentral:rRNA from 1 species